GAUGAACGCUGGCGGCGUGCUUAACGCAUGCAGGUCGAACGGAAAGGCCCAAGCUUGCCUGGGUACUCGAGUGGCGAACGGGUGAGUAACACGUGGGUGAUCUGCCCUGCACUUCGGGAUAAGCCUGGGAAACUGGGUCUAAUACCGGAUAGGACCACUUCUUGGAUGUUGUGGUGGAAAGUUUUUUCGGUGUGGGAUGAGCUCGCGGCCUAUCAGCUUGUUGGUGGGGUAAUGGCCUACCAAGGCGUCGACGGGUAGCCGGCCUGAGAGGGUGUACGGCCACAUUGGGACUGAGAUACGGCCCAGACUCCUACGGGAGGCAGCAGUGGGGAAUAUUGCACAAUGGGCGCAAGCCUGAUGCAGCGACGCCGCGUGGGGGAUGACGGCCUUCGGGUUGUAAACUCCUUUCGCUAGGGACGAAGCGUUUUGUGACGGUACCUGGAGAAGAAGCACCGGCUAACUACGUG
rnacentral:rRNA from 1 species